rnacentral:rRNA from 1 species
AUCAUUACAGAGUUACUACUCCAAACCCAUUGUGAACCUUACCUAUGUUCUGUUGCCUCGGCGGCGUCGGUCAGCGCCCCUCUGAAAAGAGGACGAUGCCCCUCCCGCCGGCAGCACCAAACUCUUGAAUUUUACAGCGGAUUACAGUUCUGAUUUGAAAACAAAAAACAAGUUAAAACUUUCAACAACGGAUCUCUUGGUUCUGGCAUCGAUGAAGAACGCAGCGAAAUGCGAUAAGUAAUGUGAAUUGCAGAAUUCAGUGAAUCAUCGAAUCUUUGAACGCACAUUGCGCCCGGCAGUAAUCUGCCGGGCAUGCCUGUCCGAGCGUCAUUUCAACCCUCGAACCUCCGUUUCCUUAGGGAAGCCUAGGGUCGGUGUUGGGGCGCUACGGCGAGUCCUCGCGACCCCCGUAGGCCCUGAAAUACAGUGGCGGUCCCGCCGCGGUUGCCUUCUGCGUAGUAAGUCUCUUUUGCAAGCUCGCAUUGGGUCCCGGCGGAGGCCUGCCGUCAAACCACCUAACAACUCCAGAUGGUUGACC